GAUGAACGCUGGCGGCGUGCCUAAUACAUGCAAGUCGAGCGAACAGACGAGGAGCUUGCUCCUCUGACGUUAGCGGCGGACGGGUGAGUAACACGUGGAUAACCUACCUAUAAGACUGGGAUAACUUCGGGAAACCGGAGCUAAUACCGGAUAAUAUAUUGAACCGCAUGGUUCAAUAGUGAAAGACGGUUUUGCUGUCACUUAUAGAUGGAUCCGCGCCGCAUUAGCUAGUUGGUAAGGUAACGGCUUACCAAGGCAACGAUGCGUAGCCGACCUGAGAGAGUGAUCGGCCACACGGGAACUGAGACACGGUCCAGAGGCCUACGGGAGGCAGCAGUAGGGAAUCUUCCGCAAUGGGCGAAAGCCUGACGGAGCAACGCCGCGUGAGUGAUGAAGGUCUUCGGAUCGGAAAACUCUGUUAUUAGGGAAGAACAAAUGUGUAAGUAACUAUGCACGUCUUGACGGUACCUAAUCAGAAAGCCACGGCUAACUACGUG
rnacentral:rRNA from 1 species